GGCCUUCGUAGUCAUGUCCCCCGCCUCGAAUCCUCAUUUGAAUGUCAUGCUUCUUGCAACAAUAAAUGACAGUCUGUAUCUGCGAUUCGGCCUCAGGUUUGACAAUAACAAUAGGUUUCGGAGUACUCGGAGUGUCGAACCGGAGGUUAUUAAUGGAGAACUUCAAGACAGAAGUGUAGGUAGAGUUUUCUGAUGUGUAAAUAACUUUGGAUAUGGAAGUUGAACUGGAACGAAUAAGACACUGAACAAAAUCUUGACCAGAAUUAGUCUUUUUAGGAUUUGCUGCUGAUGAAAAGGAUAAAAGGGAGAGAACACAAAAGAUUGACAACAUUGAACAAACUGAGAUCUUCAUAUUCUCUGAAUCUUUCUUGCUUUAGAAUACUUGUUUUGGUUGUAUAAUGUUUAUGUUUUUGUGGAGAAUGUGAUGUGAGUAUGGCAAGUAUUUAUAGGGAAGCCUGUGAAUUUUGGAUUGCUGGUAACGUAAGGAGUCAAGUACUUGUACAAGCCUCUGAUCCACUUGAUUGAAUCUGACGUGUCUCCGUCAGUCCGGACUCUCAUGUACAUCAUGUACAGAGUUCCUGCUCUGUGAGGGAAUGGAAUUGCCGAUUCUGAUAUUUCAGCCAUCUUUCCGCCAUAGGAUGUAAGGAGGAAAUUCGUUCUUCCCGGCUCUUGUUCGAGAAGGACUUUCCACAACCCCUCGAGGCCUUCUUUCGGUAUAGGCUUGUUCACGUAGUCGGACUUGGCCUUAAAUGCAAUUUUGUAGGCAGUUCUGUUUAACAAGCCGAGAGGAGAAUCGGUAGCCUGGAAAAGAGAGAAGAGGAGAACCGAUUGAAUGUAACUGACUUCAAAGCACGAUUCGGCCUCCAAGCCUAAUUCGGGGAACCUUUUGUUCAUCAUCGACAGUAGCUUUUCUUUUCGUCCAAGAAACUGUCCUAUAAAAUUCACACUCACGGUUUUCGUACCAUUGAGACUCGGAGUACCAUCGUCCUGAACCGUUUUCUGGGGCUCAUUAGGCAGAUUCGUCCAAAUUGGAUUGACUGCAACUCGCAUUUCAACGUCUUUGGGGAGCCUCGGGGCUACAGUUUGCCAGCGGUGAAGAAUUUCAGUUGCAUUCUGCUCUAAAGUUCUGGCUGUUUGGAACACGGUGACAAUUUUUGGAACAGAAACUAGGUGCAGUUUCCAGGAAAGAAUGACACCGAAACUAGAAGCGCCGCCUCCUCUGAUGGCCCAAAACAAAUCUUCUCCCAUUGAUUUUCUAUCAAGAAUUCUCCCGUUGGCAUCAAUCAAGCGUGCAUCGAGCACGUUAUCAGCAGCAAGGCCAUACUUUCGUCUCAAUGUGCCAUAUCCCCCUCCACUAACGAGUCCGCUAACACCCACUGUCGACCAAAUUCCAGCUGGAAAUCCAAGUGUAUUACUCUUCUCAGCAAUCCUGUAAUAGAGUUCCCCAAGCGUUGCACCGGCUUGAACCCAUGCAGUAGCUUUCACCGGAUCAACAUCGAUAGCACGAAGAUUAAUCAUAUCGACUACCACGAACGGGACUUGGGCUACGUAGGAUUGGCCUUCGUAGUCAUGUCCCCCGCCUCGAAUCCUCAUUUGAAUGUCAUGCUUCUUGCAACAAUAAAUGACAGUCUGUAUCUGCGAUUCGGCCUCAGGUUUGACAAUAACAAUAGGUUUCGGAGUACUCGGAGUGUCGAACCGGAGGUUAUUAAUGGAGAACUUCAAGACAGAAGUGUAGGUAGAGUUUUCUGAUGUGUAAAUAACUUUGGAUAUGGAAGUUGAACUGGAACGAAUAAGACACUGAACAAAAUCUUGAC
rnacentral:lncRNA from 1 species